rnacentral:tRNA from 20 species
GCGGACGUGGUGGAAUGGUAGACACCGGAGACUUAAAAUCUCCUGGCCGUAUGGCCGUGCGGGUUCGAGUCCCGCCGUCCGCACCA